rnacentral:rRNA from 1 species
AGCGAACGCUGGCGGCAGGCCUAACACAUGCAAGUCGAACGAACCUUUCGGGGUUAGUGGCGGACGGGUGAGUAACACGUGGGAACGUGCCUUUAGGUUCGGAAUAACUCAGGGAAACUUGUGCUAAUACCGAAUGUGCCCUUCGGGGGAAAGUUUUAUCGCCUUUGGAGCGGCCCGCGUCUGAUUAGCUAGUUGGUUGAGGUAAUGGCUCACCAAGGCGACGAUCAGUAGCUGGUCUGAGAGGAUGAUCAGCCACAUUGGGACUGAGACACGGCCCAAACUCCUACGGGAGGCAGCAGUGGGGAAUCUUGCGCAAUGGGCGAAAGCCUGACGCAGCCAUGCCGCGUGAAUGAUGAAGGUCUUAGGAUUGUAAAAUUCUUUCACCGGGGACGAUAAUGACGGUACCCGGAGAAGAAGCCCCGGCUAACUUCGUG